CGGAGGGUGCAAGCGUUGUUCGGAUUUACUGGGCGUAAAGCGCGCGCAGGUGGGUGAACAAGUCGGAAGUGAAAUCUUGAGGCUCAACCUCGAGGCUGCUCCCGAAACUGUUCGCCUAGGGACUGGUAGAGGCUGGUAGAAUUCCCGGUGUAGCGGUGGAAUGCGUAGAGAUCGGGAAGAAUACCCGUGGCGAAGGCGGCCAGCUGGGCCAGGUCCGACACUGAGGCGCGAAAGCGUGGGGAGCAAACAGGAUUAGAUACCCUGGUAGUCCACGCCGUAAACGAUGGGCACUAGGCGCUGGUGGGAGCGACCCCUUCAGUGCCGUAGCUAACGCGAUAAGUGCCCCGCCUGGGGAGUACGGCCGCAAGGCUG
rnacentral:rRNA from 1 species